GCCUUCGUGGAUCAGUGCUAGAUUGCCCUGGCAAGCUAUGACGAGACUGUAACUGUUGUUAACAGGGAGCUGUGGGUUCGAAUCCCACUAGAGGCA